rnacentral:rRNA from 1 species
CUACGGGUUGCUGCAGUGGGGAAUAUUGGACAAUGGGGGAAACCCUGAUCCAGCAAUGCCGCGUGUGUGAAGAAGGCCUGCGGGUUGUAAAGCACUUUCGGUUGGGAGGACUGCUUCUAGCACUAAUAUUGUUGGAAGUUGACGUUACCUUCAGAAGAAACACCGGCUAACUCCGUGCCAGCAGCCGCGGUAAUACGGAGGGGUGGAAGCGUUAAUCGGAAUUACUGGGCGUAAAGCGCGCGUAGGCGGCUAGAUCAGUCGGGUGUGACAGCCCCGGGCUUAACCUGGGAACUGCAUCCGAUACUGUCUAGCUUGAGUACAGGAGAGGAGAGUGGAAUUCCACAUGUAGCGGUGAAAUGCGUAGAUAUGUGGAGGAACACCAAUGGCGAAGGCAGCUCUCUGGCCUGAUACUGACGCUGAGGUGCGAAAGCGUGGGGAGCAAACAGGAUUAGAUACCCGAGUAGUC